GGAGGGCUAGGUGGGGGGAGGACGGAACUGAGAGAGGAGCCGGAUGACCCGGAUGUCCCCCCAUCUUCAUCUCCCCCUGCAGUGAGGAGCCUCUGACAGCGUAGGACGCAUGGUCCUGCUCACUGCCCCUUGGCCACUGCCCAGCGUGGCACCUCAUCCGAGACAGUGCUGGCCUCCAGAUCCCCCCGGGUGUGCCCAGUGUCUGGUCUUCUCUCCCCGGCCUGUCCUGAGUCCCUCUGCUGCCUCCGGCCACUUAGCAUGCAGGCCCCGGUCUGCAGGCUGCAGCAGCCAAAUGAGAUUAGCUUGCGUGCAAAAGCAAGUCCCUACUCGCUGCCACCACCCCCGGGCCCUGCGCAGCCCCAGCUGUUCUGGGGAGCCUCCAGGGCCCAGCCUGGUUUCUGCCACCCCAUCCCCCACCCCCAUCGAACUCGGGGCCAGCCAGAGCCAGGUCAGAGAGGAUGAAGGAUGUGCCCAACUUCAUCGCCAUGCCUCAUCCUCCCUCUCAUCAGCCCUUCUGGAGUCAGCCAGGGGAGGGGGGCAGCAGAGGGAGACCAACAGGAUUAAAGAUCCUUCCUUGCUCUGUAUCCCUCGCCAGUUCUCCAGCAAACCUCCUGGAGGGAGCAAAGAGGAGGGCCACUAGGAAUCAAGCAACAAGGUCUGGUCCGGCCCCGCGCCUCCCUGCCUCUCUCCUGGUCGGAGAAGGAAGAGAAGGACCCAGGUCAACCGCCCAGCCCUAAUCCAGCUGGAGUCCCUGUCCCCAGUCCCCAGGAAGUUUGCAGGGGUCUGUGAAGGAAACUGGGGAAAGACUGGGUCCCCAAACAGGACCCUGCGAGAGCCCACGGGCUACCCGCUACCCGCCCAGCCAGCAGUGACUCCAUCCUGAGGCCACUCCCAUGGCCCCGAGCUGCCCUGGGGCUGGCUGGGUGCCAUUGGGCUGCUCCCUUGAAGGUCUGAGUUUGGCACCUGCUGGCUGCGGAAGGCAAGUCCUUGGCAUAUCCCCGCCAUCUACCUAGCCAGCCCAGGUAUCCACCCAUCACUGGUCUGGUGAGGAGCCAAGGAACCC